rnacentral:rRNA from 1 species
GACGAACGCUGGCGGCGUGCUUAACACAUGCAAGUCGAACGGAAAGGCCCUGCUUUUGUGGGGUGCUCGAGUGGCGAACGGGCGAGUAACACGUGAGUAACCUGCCCUUGACUUUGGGAUAACUUCAGGAAACUGGGGCUAAUACCGGAUAGGAGCUCCUGCUGCAUGGUGGGGGUUGGAAAGUUUCGGCGGUUGGGGAUGGACUCGCGGCUUAUCAGCUUGUUGGUGGGGUAGUGGCUUACCAAGGCUUUGACGGGUAGCCGGCCUGAGAGGGUGACCGGCCACAGUGGGACUGAGAUACGGCCCAGACUCCGACGGGAGGCAGCAGUGGGGAAUAGUGCACAAUGGGCGGAAGCCUGAUGCAGCAACGCCGCGUGCGGGAUGACGGCCUUCGGGUUGUAAACCGCUUUCGCCUGUGACGAAGCGUGAGUGACGGUAAUGGGUAAAGAAGCACCGGCUAACUACGUG